ACCAGUUGAUCCUGCUGGAGGCUGCUGCUAUUUGAGUCCGAUUUAGCCAUGCAAGUCAGGUAGUAAUACCGGCGAAAUGCUCAGUAACACGUAGUUAACUUGCCAUAUGAUUGAGGAUAACCUCGGAAACCUGAGGGUAAAACUCAAUAUGGAAUGCAUUCUGGAAUGAAGUAUUCUUGAAACGUAAGGUCAUAUGAUAGGACUGCGGCGGAUUAGGUUGUUGGUAGGGUAAUGGCCUACCAAGCCUACGAUCCGUACGGGCCUUGGAAGAGGUAACCCGGAGAGGGACACUGAGAUACUGGUCCCAGCCCCACGGGGUGCAGCAGGCGCGAAACCUUUACAAUGCACGAAAGUGUGAUAGGGGGACUCAAAGUGCUCAUGUUUUACAUGGGCUUUUUGCCAAGUCUAAAAUCCUUGGCGAAUAAGUGGUGGGAAAGACUGGUGCCAGCCGCCGCGGUAACACCAGCGCCACGAGUGGGAGCCGCUAUUAUUGGGUCUAAAGCGUCCGUAGCAGGUUUAGUAAAUUAUUUGUGAAAUCGGAUAGCUCAACUAUUCGGAUUGCAGAUAAGACUGCUAAACUAGAGAUCGGGAGAAGUUGGAGGUAUUCAAGGGGGAGCGGUAAAAUGCGAGAAUCCCUUGAGGACCACCUGUUGCGAAGGCGUCCAACAAUAACGAGUCUGACUGUGAGGGACGAAAGCUAGGGGAGCGAACCGGAUUAGAUACCCGAGUAGUCCUAGCCCUAAACGUUGCGAGCUAGGUGUUGCAUAAUCUCCGGGAUUAUGCAGUAUCGUAGAGAAGUCGUUAAGCUCGCCACCUGGGAAGUACGGCCGCAAGACUGAAACUUAAAGGAAUUGGCGGGGGAGCACCACAAGGGGUGCGGCGUGCGGUUUAAUCGAAUUCAACGCCGAAAAUCUCACCAGCAGCGACGGCAGGAUGAAAGACAGUCUAAAGGGCUUUCUUGACGAGCCGAGAGGUAGUGCAUGGCCGCCGUCAGCUCGUAUCGUGAGAUGUCCUGUUAAGUCAGGUAACGAGCAAGACCUGUACCUAUAAUUGCUAACGGGUAUUAUAUAUGACUGAGCACAUUAUAGGGACUGCCUUGGAAACAAGGAGGAAGGUGCAGGCAACGGUAGGUCUGUAUGCUCCGAAUCCGCUGGGCUACACGCGCGCAACAAUGGUUAGGACAAUGGGAUGCAACUCCGAAAGGAGAAGCUAAACCUAGAAACCUAAUCUUAGUCUAGAUCGAGGUUUGUAACUCAGCCUCGUGACACCGGAAUCCCUAGUAAUCGGUCUUCAUCAUGGACCAGUGAAUAUGUCCCUGCUCUUUGCACACACCGCCCGUCAAACCAACCGAGCAUAGUUUGAGUGAGCCAUAGUUUUCUUGAUUAUGUCAAACUUAAGCUAAGUAAGGUGGGUUAAGUCGUCACAAGGUA
rnacentral:rRNA from 1 species